rnacentral:rRNA from 1 species
UUAGGAAUCUUCCACAAUGGGCGAAAGCCUGAUGGAGCGACACCGCGUGAGGGAUGAAGGCUCUCGGGUUGUAAACCUCUAAAAGGGGGACGAACGAUGACGGUACCCCUUGAAAAGCACCGGCUAACUCCGUGCCAGCAGCCGCGGUAAUACGGAGGGUGCGAGCGUUAUCCGGAAUCACUGGGCGUAAAGGGCGCGUAGGCGGUCUAGUAAGUCCGAUGUUAAAGAGCGGGGCUCAACCCCGUCACGGCGUUGGAUACUGCUGGGCUUGACGGCUGGAGAGGUGAGUGGAAUUACCAGUGUAGCGGUGGAAUGCGUAGAUACUGGUAGGAACACCCAUUGCGAAGGCAGCUCACUGGACAGCACGUGACGCUGAGGCGCGAAAGCGUGGGGAGCAAACC